AAGAAAUUAGGUUUAAUCUUCAA
rnacentral:tRNA from 2 species